AACGCAUCUUGCGCUCUCGGGUUAUUCCUGGGAGCAUGCUUGUUUGAGUAACGGAAAAGCUCAACCCCCUCUCUAGUCAAAUGGAGAGUGCUUCAGGGUUGGAUCAUGACGCGUGUUGACUUGUCAACUCCGUUGAAAUACAAGAAGCUGAACGAACUUGACCCAAGUCCCGAAUGCAGGCUUCGGCUAACUAUGUUGUAUAACUUCGGUCUCAUAGUGUUGCAUGAGUGGAUCUUGAACUUUGAUCGAUAGUAGGCUUAUCUAAACCCUGUGUUCCUAUACACACUUUUUUGCUUGUUCUCAAAUCAAGUAGGACUACCCGCUGAACUUAA
rnacentral:misc_RNA from 1 species